GGAGAGCGCGAGCGAGGGAGCGGGCGAGCUCCGAGGGGGUGUGGGUGUAGGGAGAGAGAGAAAGAGAGCAGCAGCGGCGGCGGCGGCAGCGGUGGGGAAAAGCGGAUUCCGCCCCGAACCACACCGAGGGGAGCUCGUGGUCGAGACUUGCCGCCCUAAGCACUCUCCCAAGUCCGACCCGCUCGGCGAGGACUUCCGUCUUCUGAGCGAACCUUGUCAAGCAAGCUGGGAUCUAUGAGUGGAAAGGUGACCAAGCCCAAAGAGGAGAAAGAUGCUUCUAAG
rnacentral:lncRNA from 1 species